AUUGGUGAAGACAAUUGCAGUAAGUUGUAUUUCCGUAUACUAUUACCUUAUUAUUAUAUCAGAAACAAAGAUUUUAGUAUUUUUUAGAUAUAAGACCUGUGUAGCAACAAAUGUAUAUGAUGGGUUAAGGCUAAUUCAUUAAUCCAUCUUUGUUAUUGUCAGAAUGGGACAGUGACUUGGCCACUCUGCUUUUGCUCGUUCAUCUCCUUCCACCUCAACCGGGAGGCAAGAGAACUGCCAAAGUCAGUGCUGCUGAUACUGCUGAUCACCUUGUUGUGUAUCAUAAGUCUUGCAACAGCAUUGAUGAACAUGUUCAGCAAACAGGACGGCAGCCAUACCUCCUUGCUGUGGGAAGAAGCCAAGACCAGACUGACGACUGACGAGACAGUCCCCAAGAAGCAACGCUUCAAACACAGGACUUGGUGCUGUGCUGAGCCAAAGCAUUAAUGGUGUUGAACACCCCAUCAUGUUCCUGAGG